rnacentral:rRNA from 1 species
UACGGGGGGGGCAAGCGUUGUUCGGAAUUACUGGGCGUAAAGGGCGCGUAGGCGGCUUUUCAAGUCGGGCGUGAAAUCUCCAGGCUUAACCUGGAAGGGUCGUUCGAUACUGUUAAGCUAGAGUGUGGAAGAGGCUACUGGAAUUCCGUGUGUAGCGGUGAAAUGCGUAGAUAUCUGGAGGAACACCGGUGGCGAAGGCGGCAUCCUGGACCGGUAUUGACGCUGAGGCGCGAAAGCUAGGGGAGCAAACGGG